UAAUCUGUCCCUUUACUAAACAGAUAUAAACUCUUCACCAGGCUGCUGUCGACGUGCAAUCUUUCAGGCGACUAGAAAUUGGCGAGAGGUUGAAGAGUUUCAAGGUUUGGUGUUCUAGAGUUUUUCUUCUCUCAAUGAGGACAUCAACGUUGAUAAUACUUCUGCUGGUUGUGGUGGUGGUCAGUUUAAUCCCACACAUACAAGCACAGUAUUGGGAUAAUGAUCUGGAAACUUACAUAAUCGAGUUCUGGAAAGAACGACAACGACAGGAGAGACUGGAGAAACUGGUCAGAGAAGCGAAAAUGAGAGAAAUAGAACGAAUUAA
rnacentral:sRNA from 1 species